rnacentral:rRNA from 1 species
AGUGAACGCUGGCGGUAGGCCUAACACAUGCAAGUCGAACGGCAGCACAGUAAGAGCUUGCUCUUACGGGUGGCGAGUGGCGGACGGGUGAGGAAUACAUCGGAAUCUACUUUUUCGUGGGUGAUAACGUAGGGAAACUUACGCUAAUACCGCAUACGACCUACGGGUGAAAGCAGGGGAUCUUCGGACCUUGCGCGAUUGAAUGAGCCGAUGUCGGAUUAGCUAGUUGGCGGGGUAAAGGCCCACCAAGGCGACGAUCCGUAGCUGGUCUGAGAGGAUGAUCAGCCACACUGGAACUGAGACACGGUCCAGACUCCUACGGGAGGCAGCAGUGGGGAAUAUUGGACAAUGGGCGCAAGCCUGAUCCAGCCAUACCGCGGGGGUGAAGAAGGCCUUCGGGUUGUAAAGCCCUUUUGUUGGGAAAGAAAAGCAGCAGGUUAAUACCCCGCUGUUCUGACGGUACCCAAAGAAUAAGCACCGGCUAACUUCGUG